CUUCAACGUACAAAGACGAGUAACACCAUAAAUGCUGUAUUAACGGAGCCUCAUCUUCUGAAGAAAGGAGGUGCAGUGAGAUAUAAGCGAAAGAAUGAGAACAUUAGACCGUUUUAAAGUGGUGGUGAAACUUCUUUGAAGUUCUUUUCACUAAAAACUGAUUGCAGUAUCUUUAUAGACGAACUUAUGAUUAACACAUCGAUGACCCUGUAGAGGUUGGGGUUGAAAACUUUAAACCGAGGAACUCAUUUACAUAUGAUAAGAAACUAGCCCCAUGGGCGGGGUCAAAACCCUUCAUUUUUUUUAAUUGGGGAGGGGAUUGAAAGCGUAGAAGAGCUAAAGCGCUUGAAGGAAGUAUUGAUCGAUCUUUUGCUGGGGGGGAGGUCAUUGAGAACUUAAAUCUUGCUGGGGUGGACCGUGCUUAUGUGCGUACAGCAGUAUCUUCAAUCUGGUACAACUGUCCCAAGAAUGGAACUGGUAGAAUGAGGCCCCUCCAUGGAUCUUGUUGUGCGCUGUCAUCGCCUUCCUAAUGAUAGUCUAUGUAAAGAGGCCAUGAAAACGGCUAUAGAUCAGCCUAAGAAGAAGUCUAUACAGUUCUUUCUUUGUGUAGCAUUUUUUUCCUACCGUGUGAGGAUGAACAGACAUGUCACUGACGGGUAAUUCCUUUCCGUUGAUUGCAGAUAUGGUGUCACAAAACAAAUCAAAAGGAGUGAAGAGAGAGCGACGUGAGGCAGAAGUGAAAACCAAUGCUAAUGAGCAUGCAUAAAAAAGGCAGAAGGAAGAUGCAAUGUAAUUCUUUUGACACCACUGCAAUGUUAACUAUUUUGAUUGAAGUCAAAGGCUGAAGUAAAUCUAAGAAGGCAUGAGAUCUUUUGUCCCCAUAAUCUAUCUGUCACUUGCGUAUGAAGGGGUAAUAUUUCAACAUUAAUUAUUGGUGAACAACAUAAACAUCAGUCUCAUUUUCGUAUAGAACUUUCUCUCAAAAUCUUGCUAGGCAAAUGAUUGAUACAUAUGGAGAGUUGGUGGCUUUUGGUCUUUCUUGGUUGUGGAGGUGUGUUGGUCCGCAAGCUAGAGAGUGUCCUAGAGAUGGCCGGACGGCUUAUCUUAGUGCUUUUUUUGGCUUGCAGCCUUCUUUGGGUGGUUGAGUUUCUGGGUUAUUCCUUUUCCGUUGCCUUUUGUAAGGCAGCGCUUUGCUUUGUCUAUAAUAUUUACUUGCUUAGUUAGAAAAAAAAAAAUAAACAGCAGUCUCCGAGUUCCUGAUUGGUAAAAUUGAGAUGAAUCACCUCUUGCUGUUGAAGCUGACUCCUAUGGAUGUGGGACUGCACAGUUCUUUUCUUAAGUCAUUUUUCUCACAUUUCAGUAACCUAUAGGUCGCUCGCAUCGACCUGCAUUCUGUACUUGUAGAGAGCAUUUGGGUGAACUAAGGUAAUUGUUUUCUAAUCAUCAGACUCGUGCUGCUGUAAUAUUUUGCAUUUCAUUUCUUGUCACAGCCUAAUUAUGUACAGGUAGACUUGCUGCUAAAAUUUUGAAACUGGGACUGUAUCCAGUAAAGGCAUAUUCUUUGUCUGAGAGGGUUAACAUUC